rnacentral:rRNA from 1 species
GGCUUGUUGAUUAUAAUUUCAAGUCUGGCCUGCCCAAUGAGAUUUUUAAUGGCCGCGGUAUUUUGACUGUGCAAAGGUAGCAUAAUCACUAGUUUUUUAAUUGGAAGCUUGAAUGAAAGGUUUAAUGAGAAAAUUUCUGUCUCUAUAAAAAUUAAUUAAAAUUUUAUUUUUAAGUAAAAAAGCUUAAAUUGUUAUGGAAGACGAGAAGACCCUAUAGAGUUUUAUAUAUAGUUUUAAAGGGAAGGUUAGGAAGUUAAAAUAUUUUAAAGGUUAUAUAUUUUUUUGGGGCGAUGGAAAAAUUAGUUAAACUUUUUUUAGAAAAGGUAACAUUGAUUUAUGGGUAUUUGAUCCUAUUGUUUAGAUUAAAAGAAUAAAUUACCUUAGGGAUAACAGCGUAAUUUUUUUAAGAGUUCUUAUCGAAAAAAAAGCUUGCGACCUCGAUGUUGGAUUAAAUUUUAAUUUUUGGUGAAGGUGCUGGAAUAUUAGGUCUGUUCGACCUUUAAAAUUUUACAUGAUCUGAGUUUAGACCGGUGUGAG